ACACGCAUGACACACUGCAUAUCAAUAAGCGGAGGAAAAGAAACUAACAAGGAUUCCCUAGUAACGGCGAGUGAAGCGGGAAGAGCUCAAAUUUGAAAUCUUCAAGGUUCUACCUUGACGAAUUGUAGUUUAUAGAAGUGUUUUCUGUUAGUAGAGUAGUAAAAGUUCUUUGGAAUAGGACAUCAUAGAGGGUGAGAAUCCCGUAUUUGGACUAUUCUUCCUAGCGUUGUGAUACACUUUCAAAGAGUCGGAUUGUUUGGGAAUGCAGUCCAAAUGGGUGGUAAAUUUCAUCUAAAGCUAAAUAUUGGCGAGAGACCGAUAGCGAACAAGUACCGUGAGGGAAAGAUGAAAAGAACUUUGAAAAGAGAGUUAAACAGUACGUGAAAUUGUCAAAAGGGAAGCGUUUGACACCAGUGUUGUUUUUCCGAAAAUCAAUUACGAAUGUUUUGUUUUUAAGAAGUUAUGACUUCAUCGGCAUGCUUCUUUCUUUACGAAACUUUCUUAAUGCACUUUUCGGUUAACAAGUCAACAUCAAUUUCUUUUGUUGUAAAAGGGUAUGAGGAAGGUGGCUUGCUCUUCGGCGCAAGUGUUUAUAGCCUUGUAUCUCUGCAAUCGGAGAGAUUGAGGUCUGCAGCGUAGAUCCUUCGGGGUUAGAUACAUUGGUGCUAAGCUAUAGCCUUGUAUAGACAACUUGUUGACUAUGCUCAGUCAUGUAGCUUACUCGCUGAUGCUAUUUCACCUACGCUUAGGAUGUUGAGCGCAUGUCUCUCUCU
rnacentral:rRNA from 1 species